GAAUACCAAUUUGCACUGAUUAUGGGUUUAAUGUUCUGUCUUUGGCAGAAGGAAGAGAUGCAAACUGUUUCUUUGUAGUUUGCACUGCCUCCUUUAAAAUAACCUGAAGCAAACCAUCCUUCUGCUUGGCUUUUCUUGUACUACACCUGCAGUACACAGUACACAGUGCUCCCUCAGAGCCUUUAUUGUUCAUUCCUGAUAACAUAUAAUACCUUCAGCACACAAUAUUAAACUUAUCCCAGACUUUUUUUCUGUGUAUGAGAACAGUACCUCAUCUAGCAGAAUAAGACCUCUGGCCACCCAACUUUCAUUAAAAGGCAAUAGAAUGAUGGGAAGGAGGGGAUAUCUCUCCCAAACAUGAAAGCAAAGGAUGCCCAGCACCCACCAUUUACCAGCCAUGCUCAAACAAACAUUUCCAUCUUGAUGCUUUCCACUGCAGCUGUCCCCAGGUAAAUAAUUAACUAAUUAUGCCUUCCUUAGGCUUGCCUUUGGCCCUUAACAUUCUUACUUGAGGAAAUGCACUGGCUCCCAUGGUCUCAUGGUCUACUCCUAUGUGUGUGCAGAGGUACGAUGGAGAUGCUCCAAGCUGCUGCCCUACAUCUCUGCUGGCUAGCUGGAUGCUUACACAUCUCAAAAUGAGCAUUGAAUUCUGCUACAGCUGGCCCAGAACUGUGGAGCCAGCAUAUUUACAAAAUGUGAACAAAUGAAAUGAUGUUCAAAGGCACACACAGCACUCAAAGGCACACAGUGUGUAAUCUUCAUUCCCACAGUGGCACGGGCACUGAGACUUAAUGAUCCACACCUUAAGAGCUUCUAGCUGACGGAUGGAUGCAAAUAACAUAGGCUGGAGAGAGGAGGAGAACUGAAUUAUUCCAACCCAGUUCCUGUAGUCAUCACUAAAUAUAGUGCUUGUACUGAUGCAGCAUUUCUGGGAUGGUUAUGAAAUGUCUGGCAUGCUCUGAUGUUUAACAAUCUUUACACAUUUAUAUUAAUAGAUGCUGUAGCUGAGAUUUAGCAGACAAAAGACGAGAGCAAAGGAAGCUGCUGCAGUGCUGUCAGGCAGGGAGGCACUGCCAGCUGCUUUGCUGUGCAUCACAAGCCUGGAUCUUGAGGCUUGCCACUGAUAAACCACCUGCUUCAAUAAUACUCUCUUCCUACUUCUCAAGUGGGGGAAUUUGUCAGAGGCCAGAUUUAGCAGCUGUGGUCUCAGGGGCAUCUGAUAAUUACAGAAGUGCUGUUCCACAUGCCUGAUGAAGCAAUAGAGACUGUUAGUGGGUGUGAGCUCCGAAGAGAGAUUGCACUAUGCGUGUUUCUAUAUUUCCUUUAAUUUGCAAUCUCAUUUUUUCUCAAAUUAAAUUUAUGCAAGCAUCACAGUGGGGAUUAGCUAUUGAUAUAAUUGAGAGUAGAAACAGAGAUGAUUAUACAAUGCCCAGGAUUCAUGCAAUUGGACAUCAGACACCUACAAGGCAGAUACCUACAUUCAGCACAGUUAUUUUGUCCCUUACCUGUACUCAGUGAUACUCAUGUAUCUGUUUUAGGGCACGAGCAUUGCCUUGUGGAUGUGACUUCCAGUGGGCACACAAGUACUGAAGCCCUGCAGCCCUUUAAAAUUGGGUCACCUGCAUGCUAGCAACAAGUCCAUGACAAAUGGGGGGGAUGUCCAGGAUUGCAUGUAAGAGCAAGGGAAGUGUGUGAUGAUUCCUGUGUGUGCCCCUUCUUGCCCCUGAGAUCUACAGCACUGAUUUCUUGAGCGAGGGGCAGUUUUAUAUUUAAUCAUUUCUGAUAAACAAACUCCUGGAGCAAAAACUUAACAGCCUUUCAGCUGCUUGUGAAUGCAGACAGUAGUGUCUUUGCAGUACCUAUGGUCCUCACAGUGGGAACAGAACUGUGAAGUCCACAGUGUGAAGCCAGAAAGGUUCUUUAAGCCAAAUUGACUUUUAUGACCAUUUACAUCUCUCAGUCAGAUUCUAUUUGUUCCAAGCAGCAGGCACGCUCAGAAGCUUGUCUGAAACCCCAUCCUAAAGGGCCCGAAUGCUGGUAUGAGUUAAACAGGCACUAAAAAUUCAGGGUGCUCUUAUUAGAGCUCUUAUUAGAGCUGUUGAUUUAACAGUGGUGAAGAUGGAGACACACUCAGAGCACAGGUUCAUUACAAAGCACCCCAAGUUUCGGACAGCCUUACUGGAACACUGAAGCCCAGGCCCUCUUUUCUCUUUGCAGUAUUUCCACCUUCAGAAAGGCCAUAACUCCUGUCUGGGGAUUGCCACUGUCCCAGGUGUAUUACCAGGGUCAAGGCAGUGAAUAUUCAUGUAAAGGUGUUACUCAAUUGCACUGACAGCCCUUCUGAGUGGAGAAGUGGCUGAGAUGGUGUUAAAAAUAAAAGUGGUGACUGUUUGCUCCUUGCCCUGGUCUUCUAAAUGAUUCUGCAACAAGGUGGAAGCUUUUAAGGAAAAACGCAGUGCAGAUGGAGCAGAUGGUGCUGAUUUCACCCAAGAAUGAGACAUUCUAACAGCGAUAAAAUUCCUGCUGUUCUGUUUUCUCCAUGGAAGGAGUUCACUUCUGCUCUUGGCUGACUGUGUCUUGUUCCAUGACGUGGAUUUACUGGGAUGCUUCAGAAGUCAGAGCUGUGCCUCCAGCAUACACCAAGACCUAGGGCAGGAGAGGAGCAGCACAGGUCCUGGUUACACAGUGCAGUAAAGGAGCUGUGGUGCAUUGCUCUGGGAUUUGGGCUAUUUCCUGAGAAAUUAACAAGGCAAAUCCAAAGGAAAAAAAAAAAUGAAAGGGCAUAGAUGUUCUAUGUAUGACGAUUCAAUACCUUUUAUUCCUGUUCUGUUGUUUUUUUUUUAAUCCUGAGAAAGACAUCUGAGCCGUUGUUUCUUUCCCUAUUUCUAAAUAGAUGCAAGGUAACAAUGAGUCACUGACUAAAAAUAAAAGUAAGCCUCUUAUUUUUUUUGCAUCCGUAAGUAGGAAGUGGGAUGUGCUGCAUUAAUCAAGGCUUGUUUGGAAGCCCUGUGUGGGCUGGGUGUAGUGAAAAGGGUGACCUGGCAAAGCAUUCCUUCCUUGGGUAAUUUUCUAUCUCUCAGGAACUCUUCAGUCAGAAAUACAGGACUUUGAUAAGAAUCUUUCACAGUGAAUAUCGUUGGCUCUUACUUUGUAUGUAUGUAAGAGCUGGAGAUGUGUUAAAUUGGGAUCCACCAGGGCUUCUUUGUGCCGCUUUCUGAUUUUGUGGGUCCAAGUUGCCCGGUAGUGAAGCAACAAAGUUUUAUUGCCCUUAAAUAUUUUCUGUUGUCUGUAUUUCAUCAUGAAUGGUUCAGGUCAGGUACCAAAGCUUUGUCUCAUUCAAGUUCCUUUUAUAUUUUCAUACAGAGGAUUUGCCAGGCUGGGUCAUCUGCCUUGCAGCCCUCAAAGCAGCAUCGUGUGUGCAGUCUACCCAGCCAGCUUAGGGGUCCUGCUGCUGGGAUUUGUCUGUGCACAGUAAAGAGCAGCAGGCCUCUAAGGAUUGGUAGAAAGCAAGCAUGAUUCCUGAUUAUCCACUGCCUUUUCUCCUUCUUUCCUUCAAGUCUGUGUCAGUAUCAACUGUGUACACAAAGCAGCAAGAUCAGGGGAGCUCUUGCAUGCAAUACAUGCAUACAGAUUCAUUCAUCUGCAUGCAGUGGUUUGUCUGUCAGCUAACGUUCAACAAAACAUUCUGUGAGGUCGGUGUGGUGCAGAUGGGAGGCAACGCUCACAGUUUCCACUUUUCAAAAAUGCUUCCUGUGUCGGAGUUUAACAGAUUGUUAAAUGGAACUGCUGUAAUUUGAUUUAAUAGAGAUCUUAUGACUUAGUGAGAUGGUCCAGUAUCUUCUGACUUGGUGGUUUUGCAAGUAAGUAUCAUGCCCUUUGUGGCCUAACUAGUAAUUAAUCUUAAUGAUGCAUUGUCCCAAUAGUUUGAGUUGCUAUUAAUUAAUGGCAGUCUUUAGGUAUAUAGAUCACUACAUCUCCAUGCAUAGCAAAGAGAGAACAAAGCAACAACAAGGCUGUAACCUGACUUCAGGCAAACCAUGGAUGUCUUUGGUGCCAGCAAAGAGCUCACAGAAGGGCCUGAGGCUACUUGCAAGUGCUGCACACAACUGUGUGAUGAUUUAUUAAAAAUCAGGUGAUAGAGGGGCUGCAGAAAGCAGCUUUUGUUUCAACAGGCUUUUAUUUCCAAAUACUACAAUGUAAAUCAGCGAGACCGAAAUGGAAGCCCAAGUAAUCUGUCCCUUGUUCUGAUCUUUGGUUGUUGUUGUACUGUGAAUUCCAGUGGUUGGUUAUUGUUUUUUGUUUGUUUGUUUUCGUUUGUUUUUAUGCACCACCACA